UGGCUGCUAGGGCCCUGACCCGGGGCUGCGGUGACUCAUGGGAGGAGGGCUCGUGUAGCCAGGCCCUGCUGGCAAGUCUCAGCUGCAGGGAGCUGGCUGACCUGCUUAGCUCGAAGCUCCAAUCCUGGGGUCACUUCACACACAUGCUUCCUGCCCCUCUGCCAGUCUCUGAGUGCCUCAAAGGGCUCCCUGGGGCUGCAGUGAAGACCCGGCCCCGCCAGAAGGCAGGUGGAGAGAAGUGACAGCAGAGCCAGGCUGUGCCAGAGCGAGAGCCACUGGAUCGAAACCAGGAUGAAUCAGAUUGAUCACAAAGCCCGGUGUCCGUGGUGUGCACCCCCUGCGCCAGCCACCCAACCUCACACGUGAUGCCCCAGCUGCUCUGAGCCACUCCAGUUCUUGGAACCUCUCCUGCUUCCUCACCUCUGCAGACAACUGGCUCUUCCUUUUUCUGGGCACCUUUUCCACUCCUAAUCUGCUUGGUCAACCCCUCCUGAACUCCCAGGUUUCACAUCCAUGAACAUCCACUCCCCCAGGAAGCCCCGCCACCUGCGCUCGGUCCAGCUCUCCCACCACCAGCAGCAGCAUCACAGUCUCUUCUGGAGGCAGUGACAAAGAAGCUCAACCCAAACUGACAUAAAGAUGCCACAUGUUGGGAUACCUGGGUGGCCUAGCGGUUGAGCAUCUGCCUUUGGCUCAGGGCAUAAUCCCAGAUUCCCGGGUUUGAGUCCCACGUCGGGCUCCUAGCAUGGAACCUGCUUCUCCCUCUGCCUGUGUCUCUGCCUCUCUCUGUAUCUCUCGUGAAUAAAUAAAUAGAAUCUUUAAAAAAAAAAAAAGGUGCCACAUGUUGGCUCAUGAGCCUCAAGGCUGGACUUGCUGCAGGCGAGACUUCACCCGGGAAUCGCCCAGGAGAACCUGUCCUCCUGCCUCGGGUGGCCUAGACCUGUGGUCCCCAGGGCAGCUGCAGGUUGUUCGGGACCACACACUCUCCCAUCAAAUUUUAUAUUUAAGUGUAUAUUAUUUAUGUUAGAUAUUUCAUAUUUGUAUUAUUAAGUGUUAUUGUAUUAUUAAAAUUUAUGCUUUAAAUAUGAAUUUCAUAUACAAUUGUGAAAUUUUCAUAGAACAUUUGCAUAUGAAAUUUACAUGUAUAAGAUAAAGAAGGAAAAAGGAGAGAAUUUUACAGGAAAUGCUGUUCCCUCUCCUCCUCUUCCUUCUCUGCUGGCCUGGGUCCUCGGGCCACGGUGAAAAGGAGUUCUAGCAGAAGCCUUAGAGGAGAAGCUGUGUAAAGCUUAGUGGCGUGUCUUUAAGAACUCAGUGUCGGAUGGAGAGCAGUUAGCAUUUCAAAUGUGCGUACCCUUGAUCCGACAAUUCCACUUUUAUGAAUGUAUCCUGUAAAUACAUGACACUUGUUCAAAAUAACACACUCACAGGGUUAUUCAUGGUAGCAUUAUUUGUAAUACUGAACAGUUCAAAAAAAGCUUUAAUUGCCAUUAAGAGGUGAUUGGUUAAACAAAUUAUAGUAUAUUUAUAUAAUGGAACUAUGAUAAUGUGCUGUCAUUAGCCAAGAAUGAGGUAUCUCUCCAGUGGUAUGA